AGAUGCACUGCCCGCCUAUUGUACAACAUAAACGUGGGGAAACCCGUAGGUCGAUGCUUAAAGGACGUCCUAGAAAUAAGGACUCUGCAUCAAACAGCGCUUUACAAAUGCAGCCUGACGGACAAACAUUUGACGAAGUCAGAUCUAGUGAGAUAUAGAGCAAUGGUGGAGAAGCUGGAUAAAACUAGCGGAUAUUUAAAAGAAUACUUACACGCCCUGGAUAUGAUUAUUCAUCACACACAGGAAACCCGGUUUCAAGACAACCGUUUGGACAUUACAUUUCUUGAUUUGCCCAAUCGCUUCACCUUGGUCCACAUGAGUCUUGUACAGACGACUGGCGUUCAGGAAGUAACACAGCAGUGAAAUGGGCCCUUGGACUGACUUCAUUUACUCGACGAGUACAUGUACUGUUAUUUAUCAUAAUGUUGUGUACCUAUUUUGCACACGCUUUGUUUGAAAAGCAUAGAUCAUAAUGUAUCAAAUUUAUUCAUGGUGUUACACACCAUUAAGCUAGUCGUAAACAUUUAAUAGCAGAAUGUUUUUGAUCCCGAAAAUGUUUGUUGAAUAUAACAUGUGUGUUUGUUAUAAUCAUUUUUUGACGGCUGUUGACUAGCAGUUGACUCCGUGUGGUAUUUCUGUAUAUGGCCCUAAUCUUUUGAGGUGAAGGGGGGCAUACUGAUUUGUCAUUGUAUGCACAUCCGUCUGUUCGUCCAUCCGCCCGUCCUUCCAUCCGUCAUAGUGUGUUGUGUCCUGCGUAAUAAAACAAAUAUUGAUACUUAAGGGGAGACACAUUGCAAACAUAUCAACCACCCUGUGAACAUGCAACCUUCGAUCAUUCGGUUCGAUUAUUAUCGACGCAACAUUAGUUAUGGUCUCAUUUUGGCAAACAAAAUCACAUGUGUUUACUUAUGUCGCGUAGCUUUACAUGUAUGUCUGCUAGAGGACACUUCUUCAACAACAUAUUAUCCAGCACGUAAUCUUUCGCAUCGGAAAUGUUCGAAUUAUUAAAAAGAAUUGCUUCUAGAGGGAAGAACUGUGUAAUGAACAAUUAACUGUAUGUUAACUUGCGUAUAUGUAUAUGCGCAAAGGAUACUUUUUUACGCAAACGUGAUUAUGGCCCCUUUUAGCAAACAAGUACGGUAUAAAGUCGUCUUGCGCGUUGCUCA